AGUGAACGCUGGCGGUAGGCCUAACACAUGCAAGUCGAACGGCAGCACAGUAAGAGCUUGCUCUUACGGGUGGCGAGUGGCGGACGGGUGAGGAAUACAUCGGAAUCUACUUUUUCGUGGGGGAUAACGUAGGGAAACUUACGCUAAUACCGCAUACGACCUACGGGUGAAAGCAGGGGAUCUUCGGACCUUGCGCGAUUGAAUGAGCCGAUGUCGGAUUAGCUAGUUGGCGGGGUAAAGGCCCACCAAGGCGACGAUCCGUAGCUGGUCUGAGAGGAUGAUCAGCCACACUGGAACUAAGACACGGUCCAGACUCCUACGGGAGGCAGCAGUGGGGAAUAUUGGACAAUGGGCGCAAGCCUGAUCCAGCCAUACCGCGGGGGUGAAGAAGGCCGUCGGGUUGUAAAGCCCUUUUGUUGGGAAAGAAAAGCAGCAGGUUAAUACCCCGCUGUUCUGACGGUACCCAAAGAAUAAGCACCGGCUAACUUCGUGC
rnacentral:rRNA from 1 species